ensembl:lncRNA novel transcript
UGUGUCUAGAAUGUUUUUAAAAAUAGGUAGUGGAGCCAUAGCCCUCACCAUAGACACCUCUGAGCCCACUGGCAUUGUCUCUGAGCAGAAGAUGGCUGUGCCACUCACAUAUGCUAAUCUUGGCAAAUCUGCCAAGCAUGUCUUCACCAAGGGAUAUGGAUUUGGCUUAAUAAAACCUGAUUUGAAAACAAAAUCUGAGAAUGGAUUGGAAUUUACAAGCUCAGGCUCAGCCAACACUGAGACCACCAAAGUGACAGGCAGUCUGGAAACCAAGUACAGAUAGACCGAAUAUGGCCUGACAUUUGCAAAGAAAUGGAACACUGACAACACACUAGGCACCGAGAUUACUAUGGAAGACCAGUUAGCAUGUGGACUGAAGCUGACCCUCCAUUCAUCCUUCUCGCCUAACACUGGGGGAAAAGUGCUAAAAUCAAGACAGGAUACAAGUGGGAGCACAUUAACCUGGGCUGCGACGUGGAUUUGGACAUUGCUGAGCCUUCAGUCCGAGGCACUCUUAAGUGCUGGGUUAUGAGGAUUGGCUGGCCAGCUACCAGGUCAAUUUUGAGACCACAAAGUCCUGAGUGACCCAGAGCAACUUUGCGGUUGGCCACAAGACUGAUGAAUUCCAGCUUCACACUAAUGUGAAUGACGGGACAGAGUUUGGCAGCUCCAAUUAGCAGAAGAGUGUACUUCUACUUAAAAAAAAGUUAACUGUGAAACAGCAUAAGGCAGGCCCUUCAGGAGGUCUGUGAGAAGAAGGCAUUGUUACAGGAGAUGACAGCUCCGUGGGUAUUAUUGCCCCUGAAAACCUUCUAAGCAGGACAAGAUGUGGAGAUGGAAGACAGUGACAUUGAUGAUCCUGACCCCGUAGACAGGCUGAAGUGGUGCAGUCAUAGCUUACUGUAGUCUUGACCUACUGGGCUCAAGCAAUCCUCCUGCCUCAGCCUCCUGAGUAACUAGGACUACAGGGCAGCCUUGAACAUACCAGGAAGCAAUAGGAAAAAACUGGAGAAAGUGAAAAGGCUGCGAUGAAGGAAAAGAGGAGACAAACAAGGGUGACAUUGGCUGGGCAGCAAAGAUGACCAAAAGGCCAAGAAGCCUGUGCUGUUCCAGUAUUGAUCCGGUGCUCCUCCGUCACCAUCCGACCACAGAACCUCAGGCUGAUAGUUGUUCACUAACUCAUAGAGCUCUGGCAAUGUCUUAGAAACUGGAAAUUGCCGCUUAUGGAAUGAACUGGAUUCAUCCUCAAGG